GAUGAAGAACGUAGCGAAACGCGAUAUUUCUUGUGAAUUGCAGAAGUGAAUCAUCAGUUUUUGAACGCACAUUGCACUUUGGGGUAUCCCCCAAAGUAUACUUGUUUGAGCGUUGUUUCUCUCUUGGAAUUGCUUUGCUCUUCUAAAAUUUCGAAUCAAAUUCGUUUGAAAAACAACACUAUUCAACCUCAGAUCAAGUAGGAUUACCCGCUGAACUUAAGCAUAUCAAUAAGCGAGGA
rnacentral:misc_RNA from 1 species